AGGGCUGAGGCAGUGAGUCCUG
rnacentral:miRNA from 1 species